UACGUAGGGCGCAAGCGUUGUCCGGAAUUAUUGGGCGUAAAGAGCUCGUAGGCGGCUUGUCACGUCGGAUGUGAAAGCCCGGGGCUUAACUCCGGGCCUGCAGUGGGUACGGGCAGACUAGAGUGCGGUAGGGGAGACUGGAAUUCCUGGUGUAGCGGUGAAAUGCGCAGAUAUCAGGAGGAACACCGGUGGCGAAGGCGGGUCUCUGGGCCGUAACUGACGCUGAGGAGCGAAAGCGUGGGGAGCGAACAGG
rnacentral:rRNA from 1 species